rnacentral:tRNA from 1 species
AGCGCUAUAGCUCAGUUGGUAGAGCGCGCCCCUGAUAAGGGCGAGGUCGGUGGUUCGAGUCCACUUGGUGCUACCA